CCGUAAUGUGAGAUCAUAACAAAUUGGAUCCAUAAUAAAAAAAAUGUUACAAGUAGGGUCAGAUUUCUCGGACUUCAGGACGUGAGACUAUAACAGGUUGGACCUGUACACAAACUCAUGAUAGGCUGGACCAUUAACUAAAAAAACAGGCCAGCACCAUCCCACGAGCGGCCAGACCAUCCCAUAUAAUAAAAAAUGGGGCGUACAGGGUAAGAAACAUGACCAAACUCUGAAGAUCCUUCCCACAAAAAAACUGUACAAAGAUGACAUCUCUCCAAACAAAUCCAAACUCUCAGAAAUUUGCAGAUAUUGGAUCUCUCCUAACAGAAUAUCUCUAGAUAGGACCAAAAUCUCAUGGUCGCAUGCAUAUAUAAAAUCUCUCGGCAUCCGAACAACCUUGUACAUCAUCUUCCUCCAGUGAACAACACUUUGAGGUCAACUUCCUCCAACCAGUGGCACUUCGGCAUUGGGCACCAGCCGGCUCCGUUGAGCAACUAGAUCACCUUCAGUAUGUACGAUUUGCAUGAAAUUAUAGAUCAGACCUAUUAAAGGAUAAUGAGAGGAUGUCGCCCACUGUGCCCCCCACAAAAAGAAUGAAAAACAAAUGGAGACCCUCAAUUACUCUGGGCAGUGCUAAACUAAAAUCUUAUUCUAGCGUGAUCCUCUACUAUAUUUUGGGUUAUGGGAUGGCUUCCAUAGGCCUCAAAUCCAUUAAGAAGCACAGGGCAGUGUAGUAUGGUAAUCACUUGGAGUUUUUAGAUUAGAUAAUGGUUCACAUAAUAUUUUGCAUGAGUACCUUGGUAAUUUUGUCUAAUAAAGUUCCUCAUUAAUCAGGUAGAGAUUGCUUCGGCCGGCUUCUACUAAAAAAUACUCACGAUAUUUUUGUAUUCACAUGAUGAUUGAAACUUAAGUUCCUCUUUAUCAUUAAAGAUUUCUGCAAAUCACAGGUCUCGAAAAUAGAUCUCCUUUACUUGUACGACCAAAAAAAAUAUUUAUAGGGUGAAAAGUAACAAAAAUAAUGAAUAUUCAUAAACUUGAGCAUUAAUCUGUAAUAGUAGCACACCCACCACCAAGCGGGGCGGUUGGUCAAGGUGUCAAGCGGCCGAGAAGGGUACUCCCAUGUCCAAUGACCAGCGGGAGCACCGCCAUGAUAUUUAUCGUCGUCCAUCGCCACAGCAAAGCAUGAUCUCUAGCUCCACCACUGUCUGUAAUAAUAUUAUAAAUAUCAUCCACUUUAGCUUUAUUCGAUUUUUUUCAAGAAAACGCAAAAGAGCUUGCAUUUCAUUGGAUUUAAAAGAGAGCUUUAGCUUUAUAUUUGCACUCCCUGAUGUGCAGAAAUCAACAAUGAAAAGAAAAGAGGGGCCACAUAACAAGGAAGGUUAGAAACCUGCCAAGAUGGUUAAAACAAAACAUAUAUGUAAUCCAACAAGGUGAUCCGUUACUAAUGAUGAAUAUUUUGUGUGUGCUAUCACAACAAAACUAAAACACAAAAGGCAACAAUUCCAGUUAGGCGUUGGGGGUUUCUAAUUGAUUUUAGCUUUAAUGAUGAAACUUAUUUUAAAUUGUUAUCUUAUUGAUGCAAGUCGAGACAAUCAACAAAAAUAGCAAGAUUGGAAGGAGAAUGAAACUUCAAGACAAGAAAAAGAGACAACCUUCAAUCAUAAAUGGAGAUGUGCCAGACUUUGCGGCUACACAAAAAGGAGAACCUUUGAUCCAUGCGAAGUAAGAAAAUCUCCACAAAGUUUCACCCUUAUGCAGGUUAUCAUCCAUUUGAUUUAAUUACAGUUCUCAGUUCAAUUUCUAAAUUUUAACAAUGCACGACUGGUAUUACAGUAUACAGGAAGCAACAUUAUGUACCUUGCUUAUGCUUUGCACAUCAGUUCUGCUAUCUAUGUGCUCAAAUCUUUCAAAGCAUGAAAAUUUACCUUCAUUAACUCGGUGGUUUCGAUGUAGUAAAGUUAUAUCUCACACAUUUUACCGUAAAACAAGUGGUUAUAAAGUUCGGACGCCCAUGCAUUUCCAUAUCUUUGAGUGCGGAUAAUUUUAAUUGCUCUAUGAAAUCACAAAAACAUGUUACAUUUCGUUCUAUCUAUAGCUAAGUAUAACACGUAUGCAUGCACUGCGGCUAAAGCGAAAAAUAUUGUUCCAUUCCCACAAGGAGAAACAAAAUGCUUCUGCCGGAGAUGAAACAAUAUCUUACUUCUACUAAUUAGGAUUUAUGUUUAUGUAGGGCAAGUAACUCAACAAAAGGGGGGAAAUAUGACAGAGUUGGGAAUACGAAAAAUGGGGACCUGCAGGUCGAACUUCGAAGAAUGUUGUCGCUGUGGAGGAUGAGGACCGUGUCCCGAGCUGCCUCGAGUGAAAAGAGCGACAACGCUCUAGCUUAUGCGCUUGGGGAAGAGAACCUCGCCGCCAUCCUCACACCCAAGCUGGAUCUAAGAGGGAUGCGGCCUGGGGGAGAUGAAAUCCACGACCAAAUCAACUACACAGACACCAAUUACAACGGGUCAACGAC
rnacentral:lncRNA from 1 species